rnacentral:rRNA from 1 species
AGGAAAGUAGCAAUACUUUUCGAGCGGCGAACGGGUGAGUAACACGUUGGGAAUCUACCCCUGAGACCGGAAUACCUGGAAGAAAUUUCAGCUAAUGCCGGAUACGUGGUCAACACAGAAGUGAUGAUCAUAAAAGGCGGCCUUAAAGCCGCGCUGAGGGAUGAACCUGCGGCGCAUUAGCUAGUUGGUGAGAUAAAAGCCCACCAAGGCGAGGAUGCGUAGCCGACCUGAGAGGGUGAACGGCCACACUGGAACUGAGACACGGUCCAGACUCC